GCUGGAAUUGCUAGUAAUGGCAGGUCAGCAUACUGCCGUGAAUACGUUCCCGGGCCUUGUACACACCGCCCGUCACACCAUGAGAGUUGGGAAUACCCGAAGCCUGUGAGCCAACAAAAUGAGGCAGCAGUCGAAGGUAGAAUCAAUGAUUGGGGUGAAGUCGUAACAAGGUAUC
rnacentral:rRNA from 1 species